GUACCUAGGUUCAUCACAGUAUAAGAAAGGUCCCAGUCAGUGACAAUGCUUGUUUUCUUUGUGAUUUCCCUUGUUAUAUAUGUGAUGUCCUUUUGCAUGGAUAUGACUUUCUUUGUGUUGUUUGCU